GGGGGAUAAUCGGGAGAAAUCCCGUCUAAUACCGCGUAAUGCCGCGGGGCUGCAUGGCCCUGCGGCCAAAGGGAGCGAUUCCGGCAACGGAUGGGCAUGCGUGACAUUAGCUAGUUGGCGGGGCAACGGCCCACCAAGGCGACGAUGUCUAGGGGUUCUGAGAGGAAGGUCCCCCACACUGGUACUGAGACACGGACCAGACUCCUACGGGAGGCAGCAGUGAGGAAUAUUGGUCAAUGGGCGCGAGCCUGAACCAGCCAAGUCGCGUGAGGGAUGACGGCCCUACGGGUUGUAAACCUCUUUUGUCGGGGAGCAAAUUCCGCCACGUGUGGCGGAGUCGAGAGUACCCGAAGAAAAAGCAUCGGCUAACUCCGUGCCAGCAGCCGCGGUAAUACGGAGGAUGCGAGCGUUAUCCGGAUUUAUUGGGUUUAAAGGGUGCGUAGGCGGACUGUCAAGUCAGCGGUAAAAUACGGGGGCUCAACCUCCGCCCGCCGUUGAAACUGACGGUCUUGAGUGGGCGAGAAGUAUGCGGAAUGCGUGGUGUAGCGGUGAAAUGCAUAGAUAUCACGCAGAACUCCGAUUGCGAAGGCAGCAUACCGGCGCCCGACUGACGCUGAAGCACGAAAGCGUGGGUAUCGAACAGGAUUAGAUACCCUGGUAGUCCACGCAGUAAAC
rnacentral:rRNA from 1 species